rnacentral:sRNA from 1 species
UUUAGCUGGUAGCAAAAUGGCAGGCAUGGAUGUAAACAUGUGCGCCGAGAUGUUGUGGAUUGAUACUAUGCGUGUGGAUGUCGAACUAUGCAGGAGAUAUGACUCCUAUACUACUUGUGUUGUGUAGAAGAGGUGAAAGAUGCGGGGUACCCGUGUCAUGGUGUUUGAUUCCAUAUGAUGUAUGCCCCAGUGACUCGUUACAAUCAACUGCUUCAGCCCCUAAGUUGAAUUUAUCCAAUUGCAUUUAACAUGUUUUUGGCUUAUGUGUGAGACCAUCUGUAUCAAUUGGUGAAUUGGCUGGUUCUACCUCCCUAUGUUCCUGCCUGUUACCCAGCUUUUCCUAUGUGGAGACCAUCGGCAUAAUUUUGUAUGAGGAAAACAAUUAUGUGCAUUGAUAACCUCCAAACAGAAAUAUCAACAUGAUUAUAUAUGUUAAUUAUACAUAUACAAACCUAAUCUUAGUACAUGUAUUUAUAUGUUGAAUCUGAGCUAAGGAUUUUGCAACUCUUGGUGUUUUUUUUAAAAUUAUUAGCAAUGAUAUUUAAAACUUAAACAGUCAAAAUUAAUGUUCAUAUGCAAAUAUUAUUUAUUUAAACCAUUAUUUAUUUGUUAACAGUUUCCUGACUAUGAGUUAUUUUUUUCAAUAUUCCCUUGAAAAAUGAAUAAUAAAUGUUUGAAAAUCUAUGUAUUUGUUGUUGUGAUCAACACUCAAAAUCUAGGAAUUUACAUUUUUGUUCAUGUAUUGUUGUUUGAGUAUUUGUUUAUUAAGAAGGGGGUGAGGGUAAGAGUUUUGUGCUUGUCCUUUCUUAAAAACUAACAGCAAUGUUGAGGAAUACUUUCAAAAAAAUAAACAGCAAUUAUGA